rnacentral:rRNA from 1 species
UACGAAGGGGGCUAGCGUUGCCCGGAAUCACUGGGCGUAAAGGGCACGUAGGCGGUUUCUUAAGUCGGCGGUGAAAUCCUGGAGCUCAACUCCAGAACUGCCUUCGAUACUGAGAGUCUCGAGUCCGGGAGAGGUGAGUGGAACUGCGAGUGUAGAGGUGAAAUUCGUAGAUAUUCGCAAGAACACCAGUGGCGAAGGCGGCUCACUGGCCCGGUACUGACGCUGAGGUGCGAAAGCGUGGGGAGCAAACAGG